UUUUUUUUUUUUUUUUUUUUUUUUUUUGGUCUUUUUGCCUUUUCUAGGGCCGCUUCCUGCAGCAUAUGGAGGCUCCUAGGCUAGGGGUUGCAUCGGAGCUGUAGGCGCCAGCCUGCACCAGAGCCACAGCAACACGGGGUCCGAACUGCAUCUGCAACCUACAUCACAGCUCACGGCAACACCAGAUCCUUAACCCACUGAGCAAGGCCAGGGAUUGAAUCUGCAACCUCAUGGUUCCUAGUCGGAUUUGUUAACCGCUGCGCCACGACAGGAACUCCUUUCUUAACUUUUUAAUGACUUUUUUAGAUACAACUUAGAGUCAAGUGCAGAGAUCUCAGGGCAUCUGUGAUGUGCCUCCACGUGCACGCACCCCCCAGAUGACAGCUGCGUGCCUCUAGCGCCCGAGGCUGCCUGUGGCCCUCCCGGUGGAGAGGCUGGAGUAAGCUCUGUCCUGUCCUCUAUCACCAUCAACUGGUUCGGCCCGGUUUUGACGUUUACAUAAAUGCAACCACAAGGUAGGCUCUUUUGUGUCUGCUUCUUCCACAAAACAUGAUGGAUGUUUUCCUUCUGUCCUCAGAUCCUAUGAGCCACCUCUUGUCCCCCACCUGCUCCUGAAAUACCUGUAUCUGCCCCUCUACUUCCUCAGCCCACACACCCCCUGACAGCACGCAGCACCAGGUUCCCACCGCCCUGCAUCCCACCACCUCUCCAGUUCCCUCCAGUCCAGACCCCUGACCUCAUCUCCAGACCCAAAUGCCUACUGAAUUCUUCACCUAGAGAGCUUACAGGGAAUCCAUUUUUUCCAACAAAACAUGCCCUGCCCUGUUCACCUCCCAUCUUGCAUGUCCAUUCACCAGGGGCCAGGCUAGGCCACCCCAGAAGCACCCAGAAGCCUACCUCACCUUUACUUCCAAAGCCCAACUAAUCGUCGGCUUGCAUCCACUGUGCUUCCUACCAUCCCUGGGAUCCAUGCUUCUCUCCCCAGCCCCUGCCCAGGCCCUCAUCUCUCAAUUGAACUCUCAUAGUAACUUUUUUCUUUUUGGCCACACCCACAGCAUGCAGAAACUCCUGAGUCAGGGAUCGAACCCAAGCCACAGAAGUGACAAUGCCAAAUCUUCAACUGCUAGGCCACCAGGGAGCUCCUCGUAGUAACUCUUAAGAGUCCACUGCCUCAUGUCUUCCCUCUCCGAUCUGUCUCCAUAGCAACACCAUGGAUUCAAAAGAAGCAAAAGGAUACCGGAUUCUGUAGCCAUCCACUCAAAACACACACUAUUGCUCACCAACCAGAGUCCGCCCUCUCUGCCCGGCCCCUGGCCCAAGCCUCCCUCUCCUGUUUUGGCUCCUGACACUCUCCUCUUCCCACCUCCUCACCACACAUCCAAGAUGCUCACACACACAUCAGCACGUGCUCUUCCCUCGGCCAACUGCCUUUCCCCACUGGACUGAGCAGGAAGCCACCUCCACAUCACUGUGCAAUGUACACAGCGCCCCUCUGAGAACGCACCUGCCUUCAAGGGCCCCGGCCCUGCCUCUGGACGGCGCUGCUGCACUUUGGUUGUGCCCAUCAUUCUCUGAGCUCUGGGGGCCAGUGACAGCGUCACCUCUCUCUGGUCUCUGCUGCCCAGCACAGAGUCUGACAAAAUGGUGAUUACAGAAUGGAUGGUGUGGGCUGUAAGGGUUCCUCUCGGUGAAGGUGGGACAAGUCCCUAGUCUGAUAAGGAGACGGUGUGCCACUCCUCAGGUAACCCCAGAUCUGUUCACGGAGAAGCCCUGCGGAAAAGACAACAGGGCAGCCGGCAGCCCACAAGGAAGAACAGAAAAUUUGUGGGGAGCCAGAGACAGCCCAGGAAGCUGGGGCAUCAGAGAAGAAGAGCCCGCAAGACUUCCUGCUCCAGCCCAGAAGUGGCCAGGUCGCCUGGCAGCACUAGGAACCCAGGACCUGAGCUGCUCUUGGGUCCGAAGCCUGAGGCACGCCCAUCUACACAGGCGGCCCCUUCUGUUUCUAACAGCAUCUGGCCCAUUUCCUAGACCACAGUGAGCUGCUUCUAGGCCAGAUCACAGCACGAGGUGGGCAAAGACCAGCAAGCCCUCCCCACGCCCUGCCACAAUUCUUAUUCCCAAGACACAAAAAUACAGGGACGGUCCACACCUUAGACCUCUGCCCAGACUUGGAACUGAAGAAAGAUCCCCCUUCCCUGCAUCUUGCACUCUGGGAGCCUGGAAAGAUCCACUCUGAGGAAUCCUGGAAUGGCCUAGAGAUUCUUGGUUCCAAUACCUCAUGUCCAUAACCAUGCAGGAAAACAAAAAGAAAAAAUAUGCUGGAUGACGAGGUACAGGUAAGUUCCACCUCCUCCCCUCUCCUGCUGAGGCCAGACUGGAGCCUGGCAGUGGUGGUUCCCUCAGGACACAGGUCCAGGAAGAAACCCAACCUCUCACUCAGCAGGAACGAGGCCACCCAAACCCAAACCGUAAAGGCUCAGGGAGAGUUAGGUCAUAGUAUGGUGACAGCAGCACACCCUCUCCAAAGCACGGCCCCCUCCCAGGAAGACCAGGCCUCACCUCCACAGGCCAAGUACACCAGGGCUGGGCAUGCGACCUUAACCAGUCCCUCACUGGAUCUCCUGAGGCCACAGGACGCAUUUCCUGCCAAUCACACACCUCAGCCCCAGCCCCAGCAGGAAUUACCCACCCCAGGCCCCCUGCUGCAGCUAUGGCUGUGCCUACUUUUCCUGGCGCAAUUCUUCCUGAUGCUCAGUGAACAGGACCUGACUAAGGGAGGGGUGGGCAGACACAUAAAGUUAUGAACUGAUUUCCCAAGUGACCAUUUCUUUAAGGACAUGAUUCCAGAGAAGAAAAGGGAGCAGACACCAAGCAUAAACAAAGGCUCUUCUGUGUGACUCUACUUUCAUUAGAAUGACAACUAAUUGAAAGCAAUUUAAUGUUGGUUCAUGAAAGGUUAAUGGAAUUCAUGUUUUGGAGAUACUGACUGCAACACAGACUUAGCCAGAAACACAAAUCUAACCUUUAUUCUCUUUAAUUAUUCGGUCAGAAUAAUUUCCUGGGAGCAGGUUUAGUCUCUGGAUGGCUUUAAUUAAACACCACUGAACUUUGAAGCUGACAUCAGCUCAUCUAGCUGCAACUCAAUUUUCAAAUUAAUCUGGUGUCUAACAGAGAGGUUUUGUGGCCUAAGCAGGGGAGACGGGGAGCGGAAGACAGGCUUAGAGCCUGACAGGUAUGAACCAGCUCUGGAACAUCUUGCAUCUUUCCCCCACCCCUCCAGUGGCAAAGCACUUCCAUGCCCUGUGCCAGGAGCUCCCUAAGGAGAGGGGCCCAGGCUGAGCUGGGCAACCAAGCUGCCUCCUUCCUUGGCUCCACUCUCUUAACAACUUGAGUAUAAGCCUGGUAUAGCCACACCCUGAAGGGGGGAGCUCCAGCCAGCAGCCCCAGCCCAACCACCUCCACUCCACUCUCCUACCUGCCCCUGCAUCUCUCCCUCUCCUCCCUGGGGCAGAAAUGUGUGAAGAGCCAUGGAGACACCUUCACUGCCUGGCUAGGGGCCCUCAGGUAACUCCCCUAUUUUUCCCCCAUUCCCCAACCUCCCUUCUGGCACUCCACCCAGGCUCCAGGUACUGGCCUCUUUUUUUCUGCCUUUGAAAACACAUGCCCCUAAUUUUGUCAGUUGUUCUUUGUAGGCAUAUCAUGUCCCUUUUGCAAUGAGCUUUUUUUUUAUUAUUAUUUUUAAAUUUUUUUGCUUUUUAGGGCCACACCUGCGGCAUAUGGAGGUUCCCAGGCUACUAGGGGUCUAGUCGGAGCUGUAGCCGCCGGCCUACACCACAGCCACAGCAACGCAGUAUUUGAGCCGUGUCUGCGACCUACAUCACAGCUCACAGCAAUGCCGGAUCCUUAACCCACUGAGUGAGGCCAGGGAUCGAACCUGCAACCUCGUGGUUACUAGACAGAUUCGUUUCUGCUGCACUACAAUGGGAACUCCUGCAAUGAGCUUCUGCUUCUUUCUAAAACUGUUCUCCUGCUGACCAGGAGGCAAUCCCACCACUUCUUACUCAUAGCUUGAGCCAGGUCGGACGGCUUCCCUCAGAAUGGCAUUUGGAGUGGGCGAGUAGUGGCAAGCAAGUAGGCAAGCUGGACUGAACUUGCCGGACAGUGUGAAGGACCUGCAUGUCGGCCCUGAGGUAGAGCCAUAUGACCAUGCCAACGCUCAGUGUCAGGGACAAGGUCAGGGCAAGGGAUGGCAUGAUGUCCAGGAGGGUUGUGUCAGAACUUGAAGGGAAAAAAAAAUAAUCUAGUUCCCUGGUGGCCUAGCAGUUAGGGAUCUGGCGUUGAACUGCUGUGGCUCAGGUUCGUUCAGUCCCUGGCCUGAGAACUUUUGCAUGCCACGGGUACAGUCCCCCCCACCCCCAAUUAUUUUUCUAGAGAAUGAUACUCCCAGCCACUUUGCUUGCCCCGUUUCCAUUAGCAUUUUGCAGCAGCUUCCUUAGAUAUCAGCUCUAACAGACUCUGGACCCUGAGCAAGGAGCAUCUGCUCUCAAUCUACUCAGCCCAACACAUCCUGCAUCAACACAGCACCCCACAUACCCCAGAGCCCCACAAAGGCCAGGAUUCCUGACUCGAGCCUAUGCAAGUGACAGCUGCAAAUGACCAUCCCCUCCAAUCCUCAGCCGGGAGGUGGCUGAGCCACCCCAGGUGCUCUGUUGGUAUAAGGAGAGCCAGGGUCAGCUGAUGAUCCCUCACAAAUGCAGAGCGCACCUUGCUACAGCCAAAGCAACAUGGGGCCCAGAACAGAAGCCACAGCCCGGCUUCCCCCACCCGUACCCAGCCAGGGGCAACCUAUCCUCAAGCAACCAAACCCACCAGUGCCACGGAGCUCGCAGAUAGGACAGGUGAGGGAUAACCACAUCAUUCCUCCCUAACAAGACAGUUUCUGGACCAUAUGGUUUACCAACCCGAAGAGACCAAGAGACAACCUGAAAAGAAGGACCUAAAAAUAAUUCUUAAAGGAGUUUCCCUAAAUAUAAUCACGAUGCCUCGCUUACACAGGCAAAGGUAUCUGAAUCAUCUGGGGUUCCCUGGUGCCUAGCAGUGCGUGCUUCUGCACACCAAUUACAUAACUGGAAGAAGCAGAGGACUGGUGGAAGUCCCUAAUGAUUGACCAAGGGUUAGAGGUGCCCCGGAUGACCAAGGAUGACGGCCACUGAACCUGACAAGAGGAGCACUAAGGACAGGGCCCCACUUCUCAACCCUGACAUGGGCAAUCUUUGGUGCUAGAUUAAAGAGUGCUCCAACCCAGGAUACGUGUGGUCAAAAUGUCAAAUAAAUGGAUGACACCACUGGGACCAAAUACUAUGAGCAUUUCUAAGCAGUCAAUCAUUAUUGACACUGAAUAACCUUUCGUUACUGAAUAUCAAAGGCCAGAGAGUGAAAGGCGUACACAGCUUCCAGAAAUAGGAAAAGGCCAAAGGAAGACUUGGAGAUUAGGACCCUCAACAUGGGACAAGCUUGAGAAGCCUGCCCAGGGCUACACACACAAAAAGGGGAGAAACAGUGUAUAAAUCAAAGAAAUCCUGCCAAUGUUAUAAAAGCCACUCCCACCUCCACCAGGCCACUGACAGCUUCACACUGGAGUUACAGUGGAUGAAGGACCAGAAAGGGAAAGGAAAGCUUAUCAGACCUGGAGAGGGAAUUUGGCUGACAGAAAACAAAAGAGUGAACAGGCACUUCUUUGAAAGGAAAAGUAUCAAGCAGUCAUUUCGACCUUUCUUGCUCUUGUUCACCCUAAAAGAAUUUUUAAAAGCGAUGUGUACCCCUUUUUAUUAUGUAAGCUUAACAUCUAAAGUUUUUCAUUAUAAGGGUAAGAAAGGCAAGACGACAGAAUAGGAGGACUCAAACUCACUUCUCAUGAAAACAGCAAAAUUACAACGAACGGCUGAAAAACCACCAGUAAAACAGACCAGAAGCUACCAAAAAAGAUAUCCUACAACCACAGACAAAGAAGCCACAUCGAGAUGGUAGGAGGGGCACUCUUGCAAUACAAGCAAUCCCAUACCUGUCAGGAGUGACCCACAGCCUGGCCAAUGACUAUAUCCCAGAGUCUCUGUAAUAGGAGUGAAAGUUCUGAAUCCCACAUCAGGUUCCCCAGCCAUGGGGAUCUGGCAUUGGGAGGAGGGGGAGGAGAAGGAGGAGCCCCUACAGCAUUUGGCAUUGAAGGCAGGGGGGCUUGUGUGCAGGAGCUCCACAGGACUGGGGGAAAGAGAGCCUUCAUUCUUGGAGCAUGCACGCAGCGUUUCAUGUGCACUAGGUCCCGGGGCAAAGAGGGAACGCCAUAAGAAUCUGGGUCAGACCCUACCUGCAGGUCUUAAAGGGUAUCCUGGAAAAGCAGAGGGUGGCUGCUGCUCACUGUAGAGAAAGGACAGUGGGAGUGGAGGUCCUGGGAAUAACCACUGGCAUGAGCUCCCCUGGAAGCUGUCAUUUUGGAAAAAUCUAGCCCCACCCAUCAGGGCUGAGAAGCACAGGCCAAACAAAAAGGGUGGGAACAAAGCUCCACCUCUCAAACAGGCUGCCUAAGGUCCUCCCAGGCACAGAUCCACCUCUAAUCACACCCAGAGACAGAGCCCCACCCACCAGAAGAGAAGACUCGGCUCCAUCUAGCAGUGGGCAGGCACCAGUCCCUCCCAUCAGGAAGCCUGCCACGAGCCCCUUUAUCAACGUGACCCCCAAGGAGGCAGACACCAGAAGCAAGACAGGCUACAACCCUGCAGCCUACAAAAAAGAGACCACACAAAAAAAACUAUACAAAACAAAAAGGAAGAGAAAGAAUGUAUACCUGUAUGUGUAACUGGGUCACCUUGCUGUACAGUAGAAAAUUGAGAGAACACUGUAAACCAGCUAUAAUGGAAAAAAAUAAAAAUUAAAAAAAAAGAAAGAAAAGGCAGAGAAACAUGACUCAGAUAAGGGAAUAAAUCAAAACCCUAGAAAAACACUAAGUGAACUGGAGAUAAGCAACUUCUAUGAAAGAGACGUUAGAGUAAUGACAGUAAAGAUGAUCCAAGAUCUCAGAAAAAACUGGAGGCGAAGAUCUACAAACUACAAGAAAUGUUUCAACAAAGAAACAAAGAUUUAAAGGUUAAACAAGGGUAGGAUCAAGACGGCAGAGGAGUAAGAUGAGGUGCUCACCUUAUCCCACAUACACAUCCUGAAAAACCACCUACAUAUAGAACGAUUCACACAGAACAUCUAAAGAACACUGGCAGAGACCCUAAACCUCCACAAAGGGCAAGAAACCUCUCCACAUAACUGGGUAGAACAAAAGGAAAAAAAAGAGAGAAAGAGAAAGGAAUCAGGACGUGACUAGCACUCCUGAGAGGGAGCUGUGAAAGAGGAAAGGAACCCACCCCCUGGGAAGCCACCCAACUGAUAGGGAGAUCAGCCGAGACAGAGGGACCUCAAAGCUUCAGAGAGGAGUUCCCAUCACGGCACAACAGAAAAAAAAAUCUGACCAGGAACCACAGGAUUGCAGGUUUGAUCCCUGACCUCGCUCAGUGGGUUAAGGAUCCAGCAUUGCCUUGAGCUGUGGUGUAGGUCAGACGCAGCUCGGAUCUAGCGUUGCUGUGGCUCUGGCGUAGGCCAGCAGCUGUAGCUCCGAUUAGACCCCUGGCCUGGGAACCUCCUUGUGCCACGGGUGCAGCCCUAAAAAGACAACAACAAC
rnacentral:lncRNA from 1 species